rnacentral:misc_RNA from 1 species
GAAUAGUAUAAACAAUAUCCUAAUAAGUAGUAUAAAGGUUAUCAAAUAUCCCAUGAUCUCUUCAAAUUCAAAAAGAUCCCUAGCACUCUGACUGAUUCUUCGAAGGGGCAACAGCACAAAAUCAUCGAAAAUGGACGCAAUGAUCGAAGGAAUGUACAAUAAGGUGGAUCUUGAUAACGACGGUACAAUAACCAAAGAUGAAUUGAUGGCUUGCUUCAAGAGAUUCGAUUCUGAUGGUGAUGGUUCUGUUUCACUGUCGGAAUUCAUCAGUCACUGGAAAGAAGUGUUCAACGGCUCUGAAGAUUCCGCCCAAAAAGUGUUCAAGAAAUUGGAUGGAGAUGGCAGCGGAAGCGUUGAAAUGUCCGAACUAGAAGGUCUAUACAAACUUCUGGAUACUGAUGGUGAUGGCACAAUAACAAAGGCUGAAUUCAUUGCAAAUUGGAAGAAGAUCCUGACAUGAGCACGACACAGCUGAUGGAUAGACGCCCAAUUGUUAUAUCACUAAGGAGACUCAAUAUGACAACAUUCGUCACCAAGAACAUUUUUCAUAUUUUGUUAUAAUUAGUAGAUAGGACACUUAUAUUAAUUUAUAUAUACGUAUUUUGUAUAAAGUUUUAUUCAAGUUAAAGUAUAAUCAAAUUUGAAUGUGAAUAAAUAAAUGUGGUUAAGCAAAAGUUGUAGUAGAAGUUAUAUUUCCCUGAACCAAACUGAAACGCCCUCUUUAAAAGCCCCGUGAAAAGAACAAGAGGAAAAAGCUCUUUAAGUACGGGGUAUUAGUCCUGUGCUACUCACUGUAU